CCUGGGGAGCGAAUGUGCCUUCCUGCCUGUUGAGAGUGUGACUUUCGGCCCCGACGUUCCCCAGACAUGACUGAGUCAGCUGUUCACACUAGGAAGCAUGAGAGAUGGGACAGAAGACACAACAGCUUGGUCUCCGACUCCAUCCGGAACCUUCCAUGGCUCUGUCGCUUCAGGAGGAAAUCCAGACUCCUGUCCUGUCUUAUCCCGAACCCGCCCUCGGCAGUGAUUCCUCCCCUGUCAGGCAGCUAAGGUGGCCCGACCCUGCUUGCAGAGUAUGUCCAAGCCCCUGUCUAGAACAACCCUGUGUUAUCAUAUCUGUCUACGCUGCGCUUGUCUCUGUUGUGCGUGGGGCGAAGGCUCUUGGGCUUGACGGAAACCCCCAGGAGCCGGUUGCAUCGAGAGCUGCUGUGACACCUGCAAUGCUGAGCUGUCUGCCUGUGAUAACCCAAGCGAGCAGCUCAGGGAUCAGGACUUGA
rnacentral:lncRNA from 1 species